rnacentral:rRNA from 1 species
AGAGCGAACGCUGGCGGCAGGCCUAACACAUGCAAGUCGAACGGACCCUUCGGGGUUAGUGGCGGACGGGUGAGUAACACGUGGGAACGUGCCUUUAGGUUCGGAAUAGCUCCUGGAAACGGGUGGUAAUGCCGAAUGUGCCCUUCGGGGGAAAGAUUUAUCGCCUUUAGAGCGGCCCGCGUCUGAUUAGCUUGUUGGUGAGGUAAUGGCUCACCAAGGCUACGAUCAGUAGCUGGUCUGAGAGGAUGACCAGCCACAUUGGGACUGAGACACGGCCCAAACUCCUACGGGAGGCAGCAGUGGGAAUCUUGCGCAAUGGGCGAAAGCCUGACGCAGCCAUGCCGCGUGUAUGAUGAAGGUCUUAGGAUUGUAAAAUACUUUCACCGGUGAAGAUAAUGACUGUAGCCGGAGAAGAAGCCCCGGACUAACUUCGUGUCCAGCAGCCGC